rnacentral:misc_RNA from 1 species
GAGAGAGAGAGAGAGAUUGAGAUUGAUUUCGAUUGACCUCAGGAAGGGAGAGAAACAGUGAGUAGUAGGCCUCCGUUUCCUGAAUCUUUGCACAAUGUCGAAUUUAACGGUCAUGUCAUUUUAAAUUGUUUUAUAUUUUAUUUUAUUAUCAUCAUCAAAUUGUAUUCCCUUUUUAUUGUAAACUCUCAGAAGAGGAUGCUUAAAAAAAAAAUCUCAGGACAG